rnacentral:lncRNA from 1 species
GCACGAUCACAGCAUUCAUUUUAAAGUUAUAAUUAUCAUACGUUAUUUGAAAGAAGGAAAUCCAGCAUUGGAUUUAAGAAGACAUCGGCAUUCCAAGGAAAUGGACUCUAAUGUCAAAUAACUCUCUUGUGGUGGAAGAUGCACUUAUUUACCACAGGAUAUGACAUUUCUUCUCAAGAGCUUCUUCAUAGCAUUAGUCAUUUCUGAAUUUCUCAGAGUGUAGAUUAAUGGGUUCAGCAUGGGCGUUAUGACUGUGUAAAACACACUCAGUAAUUUGUCAAUGGGGAAGGUCUUAGCAGGUCUCAUAUACAUGAAAAUACAGGGAACAAAGAAGAAGACAACCACAGUGAUAUGGGAACCACAGGUCUGGAGGGCUUUCCACUUCCUUUCCUGACUUAAAUUCUUCAAAGAGUGCAAGAUGACACCAUAAGAGAUGAGUAAGAGGAGAAAUACAAUAGUGCAGAUCAAUCCACCAUUGGCCGCAACUAAGAAUCCAAUGACAUAGGUGUCAGUACAGAUGAGUUUCAAUAAGGGGUACAUGUCACAGAAAAAAUGAUCGAUGACAUUGGGGCCACAGAAUGGGAGCCCAUAAAUAGUGCUAAGUUGAAUUACUGAGUGCAGAAAACCUCCAAUCCAGGAGACUACCAGCAGUGCAAUGCACACCCAUUGCCUCAUGAUGACCAAAUAAUGCAAAGGCUUACAGAUGGCCACAUAGCGGUCAUAGGCCAUCACCAGCAGAAGAAAGACCUCUGAUCCACCAAAAAAGUGCUCUGUAAAGAGCUGAGCCAUACAAGAUUGGAAGGAUAUGGUAUUUUCCCCAAAGAACAAGUUUGAAAUCAGUUUGGGGGAUAUAGAUGAGGAAUAAAUGACAUCUAUAAAUGACAAGCUACCAAGAAAAAAGUACAUUGGUGAGCCCAGGCUCUUACUGAAAGUUACAGUCACAACAAUGAGCAUGUUGCCUAUCAUGGUCAAAAUAUAGAAGAGCAAGAACAUAAAAAAAAGAACUGUCUGCUCCUUUGUAUUCUGCGUGAGACCCAAGAGGACAAAGUGUUUUCAUGGAAAUCAAACCAACAAAUGCAUCACUUUCAAGUCUUUGGAGGUACGGGGCCAAUAUAUAUCAGAGAAUAAGAGAGAUUCUGGUAUGCUAAGAAGAUUGGAGACCAUUCCAGCCCCAAGACUCUUUCAAGGCCAUUCAAUUUUCAGAGUGUUCUUCUCAGCAGGGAUAGAGAAAUCAUGUAUACCUCUUUUUAAAUCCAAAAAAAAGUUAGCUUAACAUUCUAGGCCAGGUGAAUAGUUUCCUAACAAUUUAAAAUAUUGCAGCAAUAAAAUGUGUUCAUAAUAACUAAAAAUUUGAGAA